GAAUCAUUAUUUCACAAACUCUGUUCGAAAUAUAUGAGAACAAAAUAGUAGAAUCCUCGGCUAUUCCGACCACAGCAGAACUGAAAAAACCGUAGUCCGAAGCACAUAGCAGGUUUCCUACCUAUUUUCACUCACUUCGUUUGUCACUGCGGUUUUCGCUGCUGUCAAUCAAAAAUACAAUACAAUUGAUUGAAGUAUUCCCAAGAUUUACAUGAGUAAUAUACGAAAGCUGCAAAAGAGUUGCAGAUGAAUGGAUCAAUACUAUUAAAAAGAAAUUUUAUUUUCUUUGAGUCGUCAAGUUCAGAAAAUUGAUGAUAAUYGUUGUUUAUUUGAUUGAAAAGUUUGUUUCUUUCAGUAGCAUAGUGAUUACAUGAUAGUAUAAAGUGCAAUUCAUCUUC